GAGAGGGAGAGAUAGGAAGGAGAAGAAGGAGACAAGGAAAUGGAGGAAGAGUUGGUAGAAGGAAGAUGAAACAGAACCAUGUGGCCUGGAGGACCACAAGUAACAAGGCAUCUCAUAGCUGGGGAAUAGAAUAGUGUAGUGGUAUAUCUGCCCAAUCUAGGCAUACAACUUAUAAACAUUAUAACUGAGUUGUGUGUUCUUUGCACAGGCUUAUUGGGGUUGGAGCUUGACCACAAUACCAUCAUAACUGUAAAUCAAGCUACAGUGUCACUAAAAGACAGAAAUCUUCAGCUGCCUUGUGUUGUGGGACCACCACUGUAUAAGCAAUCUGUCAUUAACCAAGGUGAUGUUACAAGGCCACUCAGGAACUUGGUGCGGGAAACCCGACCUUGAUACACAUGGCCUGAUCUCAGCAGUUUUCUGGAGCCUUGACAUAAACCUCUGAUCGAGACAGCCACCGAGAGCUAAGAAGACAAUCCUCUCUGAUACCUCAUUGUCCAGCUGUGCAUUAUUUCAUUACUAACUUGUAGGGAUUUUAUAGGUAUUUUUCAUUUUCCACACACUCCCAGCUGGCUCCCUUAAACUUGACUCUCUUCAUGCUUAUAAUUUAUAAGCGUGAAGGUAAAUAUGGUUUUUCAAACUAUGGAAAGGGAGAAAACAAUGAGCCAAAGAGAGGCUAGAAGGGGUCUUGUGGUGCCAAGAAGUACUAGUCUGCACUUUUACAUGUGAGUGUGGAGAAGAAUGGUCUCCAUGCUGGCAGACCGGUUUGCCGUUACUUUAAAGAUCCUCCCCGAGUUAAUAAUGAUGUUCAGUCUCUCACUGCUUCUGGGAUGCUCAUUCCCAGAAUGGCGGCGGCUUUUAGAAUACAGUCAUGAAUUGCUUGGUACUUUCUCCCAUGGCUAGUGGAGAAGUCUGUGUGCUCUCCCCUGGAACCUGGAGAGUCUGUGACUGACUGCCUCAGUCAGCGCAGUAAACCGCCAUGUACAGCGGCCUUUUUCUCUCGGGCCACCUGUGCUUAGAACUUAGUCACCGUGCUGCAUAGAAGCCCAGGGCGCCACAGAGAGAGGUCAUGUGAUGUUACGGCAGCCAAGACCAACGCCGAGACCAACAUCCCAGGCUAAGUUCACAGCCAAUUUACUAAGUUACUAAGUUACGGGUUACCAUUACUGCAUUAACAUUAACUGACCCUGUGUGCAAAAGACCCCUUAUAUAUUUCCAACUUUCAGAACUUCGUCAUCCCCGAGUCUUUGAGCGCUCCCAGCUGGGGCCACAAAUUGUAUGGAGCCAAGACAAACCAUCCCCGCAGUUCUUCUCUGAAUCCCUAACCCGCCCAGUCUGUGAGCAUAAUUAAAUGGCUGUUUUAGGCAA
rnacentral:sRNA from 1 species